rnacentral:rRNA from 1 species
UGUUUAUCAAAAACAUGUCUUUUUGUUUAUUAUUUAAAGUCUAACCUGCCCCACUGAGUUUUGAAGGGCCGCAGUAUAUUGACUGUGCAAAGGUAGCAUAAUCAUUUGCCUUCUAAUUAGAGGCUGGAAUGAAUGGUUGAACGAGGUGCAAGCUGUCUCAUUUUUAAAAUUUUAUGAAUUUAGCUUUUUAGUCAAAAGGCUAAAAUGUGUUUAAAGGACGAGAAGACCCUAUAGAGCUUUAUAAUUUUGUUAAUUAAGUUAGUUGGAAUUAUAAUAAAUUUAAUUGAUAUAAUUAAUUUGUUGGGGUGACAGGAAGAUGAAUUUAACUCUUUUGAUUUAAAAACAUAGAUUUAUGAAUUUUUGAUCCGUUUUUAGCGAUUUUUAGAAUAAGUUACCUUAGGGAUAACAGCGUAAUUUUGUUGGAGAGUUCUUAUCGAUAACAAAGAUUGCGACCUCGAUGUUGAAUUAAAGAAGUUCUUGAGUGCAGAAGCUUGAGGUAGUAGGUCUGUUCGACCUUUGAUUCUUUACAUGAUCUGAGUUCAAACCG